rnacentral:rRNA from 1 species
CCUACGGGCGGCUGCAGUGGGGAAUAUUGCACAAUGGGGGAAACUCUGAUGCAGCGACGCCGCGUGAAGGAAGAAGUAUUUCGGUAUGUAAACUUCUAUCAGCAGGGAAGAAAAUGACGGUACCUGACUAAGAAGCCCCGGCUAACUACGUGCCGGCAGCCGCGGUAAUACGUAGGGGGCAAGCGUUAUCCGGAUUUACUGGGGGUAAAGGGAGCGUAGGCGGUUUAGCAAGUCAGAAGUGAAAGCCCGGGGCUCAACUCCGGGACUGCUUUUGAAACUGUUGAACUAGAGUGCAGGAGAGGUAAGUGGAAUUCCUAGUGUAGCGGUGAAAUGCGUAGAUAUUAGGAGGAACACCAGUGGCGAAGGCGGCUUACUGGACUGUAAAUGACGCUGAGGCUCGAAAGCGUGGGGAGCAAACAGGAUUAGAUACCCGGGUAGUC